rnacentral:rRNA from 1 species
AACGCGAAGAACCUUACCAAGGCUUGACAUAUACCAGAAACAUCCAGAGAUGGGUGCCCCUUUUGGUCGGUAUACAGGUGGUGCAUGGUUGUCGUCAGCUCGUGUCGUGAGAUGUUGGGUUAAGUCCCGCAACGAGCGCAACCCUCGUUCUAUGUUGCCAGCACGUGAUGGUGGGGACUCAUAGGAGACUGCCGGGGUCAACUCGGAGGAAGGUGGGGAUGACGUCAAAUCAUCAUGCCCCUUAUGUCUUGGGCUUCACGCAUGCUACAAUGGCCGGUACAAAGGGCUGCGAUACCGCAAGGUGGAGCGAAUCCCAAAAAACCGGUCUCAGUUCGGAUUGCAGGCUGCAACCCGCCUGCAUGAAGCUGGAAUCGCUAGUAAUGGCAGAUCAGCAUGCUGCCGUGAAUACGUUCCCGGGCCUUGUACACACCGACC